UUGCUGUUAUCGAAUUAGUAGUUUUUGUAUCUGUACUUGCUAGAUAACUAUGACUAAAUUGAAAUGUGUGCUAGGAUUUGGAGAUUGCUGUUAUUUGUAAUUAUCUUUAUUAACUGAGUGAUUAAGGAUUCUCGGAAAAUAAAUAGAUAUCGAAUUGCAACUUUUCCUAAUCGAUUUGAAUUGAGUUCGAUUCAUUUUUUUAUUGUUUAUUAUGCUUAUCACAAGAUUUUACUAUUAUCGAAUUAGCAAUUUUUGUAUCUGUACUUGUUAAAUAACUGUAAACAAAUUGAAAUGUGUGCUUGGAUUUGGAGAUUGCUGUUAUUUGUAAUUAUUUUGUUAAAUGUGUGAUUUGGAGAUUGCUGUUAUUUGUAAUUAUCUUGUUAAAUGUGUGGUUUCACCCAUAUUCUUCUGUUUAAACUGUACUUUAAAUUUAAAUGUGUGGUUUCAUUUCUUUUUGCUGAUAAUCUCGUGUCGGGUUAGGCUUGAACGAAGGAGGAAGUCAAGAUCUGAAAGGCAAUGACCAUACCGUGACAGACUUGAAUGCCGGCGGCAAGUGGCCUUGCACAUGUCAAUGCAUGAAUAAUUCGCAAUGCGAGUCUUUGAGAUGGUUAGAUAGAGAAAUGAGUGAUUAUUUGAUGAAUGUGAAUGAGAUACGAAAGGAGCUUCCUGACUUGAAGAAUGCAGCUGUUGAAGCACGAGAGGAGAAAAUGAGGACUGGACUAUUGGAAUUUGUCACUUGAAGCUAGUAAUUAUAUAUGCUCAGUCGAACGGUACUAUUGGAAUUUGUUUAAUCUUGUAAUUCUUUUCACCUAGCAGUAGCCUUGCAAGGUCUCCAUGUACUUCACUGAAAUUUAGUUCUUGAAGCGCAGACAUAUUCCUUAA